rnacentral:misc_RNA from 1 species
GUUCCGUAGGUGAACCUGCGGAAGGAUCAUUCAUAAUAAAGUGUUUUAUGGCACUUUUUAAAAAUCCAUAUCCACCUUGUGUGCGAUGUUAGAUCUCGUCAAUCUUGGCGAGAUUUUUAUACAUCAACUCAUUCUUUAACUAAUUUGUCUGAAAAAUAUUAUGAAUACUUAAUUCAAAAUACAACUUUCAACAACGGAUCUCUUGGCUCUC